rnacentral:lncRNA from 1 species
ACGGUGGUGCUGCCGGCGGUGGACGGUGCUAGUGUGACUAAGGAGGCCACGCCCGUAUGGGGGCUAGUGUGGGCUGAUGGUGGUGAUUGGGGGAGGACACGGGCAUGGGGGGUGAGGCCGUGUGGUGCACUGUGGGGUGGAGUUGUGGGUAUGAUGAAGAGUUGAAAAGGAAAAGAAAAUGGAAGGAAGAGAUAGGGGCAGGAAGAAAAUAAAAGAAAAGAAGAAAGGAGAGCUAAGGAUGGCCG